GCGUAAGUUUGUUUUAUUUCGCCCAUUUUUGUUUCGCUAUUGUCAAGAACACAAGCAAAAUGGUUUAUAGUUGUUGCGUCCAAGGAUGUAAAACUAAAAGCGGCCAGAAUAUAAAGAUGAGAAAAUUUCCUCCAGUUAAUUCUCCACUGUUCGAACAAUGGAAAAUUGCUACGAGGAAUAAUUUAUUGCAAGAUAAGGAUAGUCACUAUAUAUACUGUAUUACUCAACACCUGCACUAAUAUUAUUAUCAAUAAUAUUAAUUUGUGAAUGACCAUCUAUAUGUAUGUGGACAACAUUGGAGAGACUCGAUGGAUCAAACAUGAGUAAACGUGAACCAUCUAUGAGAAUGAAGUAUAGGAUGUGGACCAUCUAUGAUG